UGAAAUGCUCCACGGAAACUUUACUGCGAAAACCUAUCACGCUCAAACUUCUUCUUCUUCCCCCUCAAUAUAAUCGUUCGUGAAGCAAUUUACGGUAAAACCAUUUCGCAAAGUGUCCAAUUUAGGGUUAGUGAUUUCGCAAGAGCUUCUUUAAGCUUGCUCUUCUCUACACUGUUCUUUGAUCGGUUGGAUUAAUUUAAGAGGUUUUAGGUGGAACAAAUUUUUCGGAGAUUACAAAUUUGAGACAACUCUGUUCACACCAAACAACUCCUAAGUAAUCUCUUAAUCCUAGUUCAGCACAAAUCAAAUUAAUUGCUUUAAUUGUUGCAGCAGUCACUCUUUCUAAUUUCACAGGUAAUCAAACUCACACUAGUUGUAGUAUAUCACUCGCAUUUUUGUCCUUAAACAAAACCAGCAAGUAUAAUGUCAUUGUAAUUUCUAUUGAGACAAUAAGAACCUACUCGAAAACUCAUACUAAUAGGAAAAUAUAUAACACUUCAAGAAAUAAAAAAGAUAGGAAGUGAAUAAAAAGUAAGAGAUGUUGUUGUUAAUUAAGGAGAUAGAGGCUUGUAAAAAAAAGAAGAUCUAGACUAAUACAGGAUAUGAACUGGUUUUUGGAUGUUUUCAAUCAUUCUUAACUGUAGUUUUUAUUUUUUGGACAAAUGUAAAAAAAAUCAGAGUAAGAUAUUUUACUUAAAGUAUUCAUAAGGAAUUUAGGAUAAAAAACAACUUUUAAGACAUUUUACUGGAAUCAGUAAUGACAAACAGGGCAUUAAAAUAUUACAAUAGCAGUAGAACUUUGUUAAUCACAAGCUUUAGUAAAUUGUUUCUUGUAAACAAAGUGUUUCUUAGAGUAGGCGAACUUAAAGCAGUUUCAAUGGUAACAUCAAUGAUUGUUUAUGAUAUUUGUUUUGCUAUUUUUUAAUUAGAGAAAAAAAAGGAAGUAAAGGUGCAGUUAAUCUAGUUAUCUAUUUGUUUGUACUUUGAUUUUAAUAAUACAAAAAAAGAAGAAAGGAAUUUUGAUUAGAGUUUCAAAAUCAAGGUUGAAGCGAUUGCUUGAUGUAUGCCAGAAGUUGAGUCACAUGGCUGUGUUUGCUGGGUUUUGUCAUUUGUGUUUUAGGAUGAGAGGUUAGGGGCUAUUCGGUUUCAGAAAAUGUUUUUUUGUUUUUCACUUUUAAUUACAUGAAUGUGACCAUGCUUUUACUUUGUUUCAUCUAAUAGGAGUAAAAUUGACAAAAUUUCUUUGGCCUCUAAAUAUAUUAAUUAAUUAAUUAAUUUUUUUGUUCUUUUGGUACAAAAAUGUCAAUUAUAGCACGCAGAGGCAUCCAUUCAAUGCCAAGUCUAAAUGCUGCAGAAGUAUUUGCUACUUUACUAGAGAAAGGCCAAAGUCGUGUCAUAGAUGCUUCCCUUACUCUUAUUCGAGAAAGAGCAAAGAUUAAGGCAUGCCAUAUUUGUGUUUAUUUUGCUUCACUAUAUUUGUGUUUAUUUAGUUUUGUGAACCAUAAUUUAAUAUUUUAUUUUGGUGAUUUUGAUUAUAAGAUUUGCAUGAAAAAAUAUAAAUGCAUAAGCUAUUUUUCUCCAAGGAGAACUUGUGCGUGCUUUGGGAGGUGCUAAAGCAACUUCAACUCUUCUUGGAGUUCCUUUGGGACAUAAUUUAUCUUUCCUUCAAGGUCCUACAUUUGCCCUGGCUCACAUUUGCGAGGCCAUUUGGUGUGAUAGUACAAAGUCAACUACUGAAGAAGGCAAAGAAUUACAAGAUAUGCACGAGUGCUAACUGAUGUUGGUGAUGUCCCUAUUUGAGAAAUUCGAGAUUGUGCGGUAGAUGAUCACAGAUUAAUGAAUGUAAUUGGUGAAUAUGGAAAGUUAGUAAUGGAUGAGGUAAAUUGGGAA